CCUGUAAACACACAGUCCAGUUCAUAGUGAAUGAUGGCAGGUCCUACUGCCUGUAAACACACAGUCCAGUUCAUAGUGAAUGAUGGCAGGUCCUACUGCCUGUAAACACACAGUCCAGUUCAUAGUGAAUGAUGGCAGGUCCUACUGCCUGUAAACACACAGUCCAGUUCAUAGUGAAUGAUGACAGGUCCUACUGCCUGUAAACACACAGUCCAGUUCAUAGUGAAUGAUGGCAGGUCCUACUGCCUGUAAACACACAGUCCAGUUCAUAGUGAAUGAUGGCAGGUCCUACUGCCUGUAAACACACAGUCCAGUUCAUAGUGAAUGAUGACAGGUCCUACUGCCUGUAAACACACAGUCCAGUUCAUAGUGAAUGAUGACAGGUCCUACUGCCUGUAAACACAGUCCAGUUCAUAGUGAAUGAUGGCAGGUCCUACUGCCUGUAAACACACAGUCCAGUUCAUAGUGAAUGAUGGCAGGUCCUACUGCCUGUAAACACACAGUCCAGUUCAUAGUGAAUGAUGACAGGUCCUACUGCCUGUAAACACACAGUCCAGUUCAUAGUGAAUGAUGA